rnacentral:misc_RNA from 1 species
GUGUUUUACUUUUUCAAAUCAAAUCCUUGAAAGGACAAUAUUCCAUGCAUAUGUUUCCUUUUUCUCCCUUAACCCUCUCUAUCAUAUAUCUUCUCUCUCAUUUUUAACUUGAUAAAAAUUUCAUUUCUCCUCCAAUCUCCAUCACUAUAAAAAUUUAUAAUUUUUGCGCAAAGUCUAAUAUAAGAAUAAGGACUAGAACUUUGUUUGGUUAUCA